rnacentral:tRNA from 69 species
UCCUCUGUAGUUCAGUCGGUAGAACGGCGGACUGUUAAUCCGUAUGUCACUGGUUCAAGUCCAGUCAGAGGAGCCA